UCGUCUGAGCUACUAACACAGUCUGCGCUUGACCUUGAACCAAUGUCGUUUGUGGUUGAGCUAGGACGUAAUUUUGACCAGGCACGCCACCAGAAACAACAUACUGUAAUUGACCUCCUGCUCCUUGUUGCAAUAAAACUUGCGGUUGCGGUUGGGCCUGCCUUCCUUUUACUGGACCAGUUGGUAUAAUAACUUGAUUAUUUGGUUGAAUCGUUUGUUGUACUACUAUUUGCCUAGGUGCUGUAACGAUAAGUUGUUGUGGCUGUAAUUGUGGCUGCUGCUGCUGCUGUUGUUGUUGUUGUGGUUGUUGAUUAAUUUGAUUGACGAAUACGUGAGGUUCCUCUUUUAUCGUGAUAGGAUCCUCUUUCAUCGUGUUGACAGGUUCCUCCUUUAUCGUGAUAGGUUCUUUUAUACUAAUAGAUUCUUCCUUAACACUUACAUUAACGUUCUCGUCAAGAUCCGUUUCGUCUUCUAUACAAUCCGCUGCCAGAGCAGCAUAAAGAUUCGCGGCUGUAGAAGACACGGUCACUUUCUCGUUAUCUUUAUCAUCGUCCUGUUCUUCAGACUUUAUACUCGAGACAGUAGAUUCGGCGGUAGUCGAAUCAACAGCAAGAUCCGGCGACAUCGUACCAUUGGAAUAUUUUACUUUCUUUACAUCUACUUCAUCUAAUUCGCUGGCAGAUCGUUUUAUCCCUCUGGGUGCUUCGAUCAAAGUAUCCUCGGAGACCUCCGUCUCUUCUACUUCAGCUUUUAUUUUAAUGUCAGUAGGAGAUUCUUUUAGUACUUUCUUAAUAUGAUUUUCUACUAAGUCCAUUCCCUUGUCAUUGAUUGAAUUUUUCCCUAACACGCCGUUUAAAAUCGGCUCCUUGUCGACUUUCCUUUCUAACAAAUCUGCAAGCAUCAUACUUUGCAGGGGUUUUUCUUUAGACGUUACACUAGACGAAUCUUUCGAAGAUCCAUCUUCCUGCGCGUCG
rnacentral:misc_RNA from 1 species